AUUGAACGCUGGCGGCAUGCCUUACACAUGCAAGUCGAACGGCAGCACGGGUGCUUGCACCUGGUGGCGAGUGGCGAACGGGUGAGUAAUACAUCGGAACAUGUCCUGUAGUGGGGGAUAGCCCGGCGAAAGCCGGAUUAAUACCGCAUACGAUCCACGGAUGAAAGCGGGGGACCUUCGGGCCUCGCGCUAUAGGGUUGGCCGAUGGCUGAUUAGCUAGUUGGUGGGGUAAAGGCCUACCAAGGCGACGAUCAGUAGCUGGUCUGAGAGGACGACCAGCCACACUGGGACUGAGACACGGCCCAGACUCCUACGGGAGGCAGCAGUGGGGAAUUUUGGACAAUGGGCGAAAGCCUGAUCCAGCAAUGCCGCGUGUGUGAAGAAGGCCUUCGUGUUGUAAAGCACUUUUGUCCGGAAAGAAAUCCUUGACUCUAAUACAGUCGGGGGAUGACGGUACCGGAAGAAUAAGCACCGGCUAACUACGUG
rnacentral:rRNA from 1 species